rfam:Myotis lucifugus cont2.9753, whole genome shotgun sequence.
CAGGUGCUGGACCUGCGGCACCACAGACGCGGCUGCCAGGCUGCACCUCUGACGGGGCCCAGGGGAAGUGGCCAGUUCUACCCUCCGUGCUCAGAACAGUGGGCACUAGGAUGGUUUGUAGCCUGACAUUC